AUGCUUACCUGGCAGGGGAGAUACCAUGAUCAAGAAGGUGGUUUAUUUGGGGCGAGGCGAUGCCAUUGCACUCAGGCUGUACUGACCCCUGCGAAUUCCUCAAAUGCGGGAAUCUCGACUGCAUAAUUUCUGGUAGUGGGGGACUGUGUUCGAGCUCUCCUCUA